AUCGUUCUUCGGGGCGGGGUGCGAUUCCCCACCGGCGGUAUAGUCCGCGACCUGCGAAAGCAGCUGAUUUGGUGAGAUUCCAAAACCGACAGUAUAGUCUGGAUGAGAGAAGAAAUUG
rfam:Clostridiales sp. SS3/4 draft genome.